CGGUCGGGAGACUUUCCUUGGGAAGAAAGUCAAGAAUUGGUCGUUAUUAUCAUCUCAACUAGGCCCACCGCUGGGUUCCCGACAGCGUGUGUG
rnacentral:ncRNA from 1 species